rnacentral:rRNA from 1 species
UACAGAGGGGGCAAGCGUUGUUCGGAAUUACUGGGCGUAAAGGGCGCGUAGGCGGCCUUCUAAGUCGAACGUGAAACCCCCGGGCUCAACCCGGGAACUGCGUCCGAUACUGGAAGGCUUGAAUCCGGGAGAGGGAUGCGGAAUUCCAGGUGUAGCGGUGAAAUGCGUAGAUAUCUGGAGGAACACCGGUGGCGAAGGCGGCAUCCUGGACCGGCAUUGACGCUGAGGCGCGAAAGCCAGGGGAGCAAACGGG